rnacentral:lncRNA from 1 species
AUAAAUGUUGUGUCAUAUCUUUCAAUUUAGCAAGAUCCUCAUGAUUUCUAAAUCGAAAUUUUUCGAGGGAUAUUUUGCAUAAAUUUUGAUUGACGGAUGCGAUUGUCGUUCUUUCUGUUAGUAUCAUCUGAAAUUUAUGAUCGGAGACCUUGUAGUUCUUAUUGCAAUCUUGCACAUUAAAGUUGCAAAUUUCGAUAAGACUUCCUUCACAUAGGUGAGCUCCAAAUUUUUCAAUAAGAGAAUGAUGUACAGAGCCUUGAAUUGUAUUUUCCUAUUUUUAAAUAAAUAAAAGUUAAGGAAAUUAAAUAGGAGAAUAUUUAGGUUUAAUGAAUAAAAUAAAAUACAUUAAAAAUUUACUUUUUCAUCAAGUAAGAGGAAGUUUAUUCCUAUGAGCUCAUUGUUUUUUUUUAAAUAUCUCGCUUCCCACUUUUUUGUUAAACGUACUAUCGUUCGACGAUAGGAACGCUUUUUGUUAAGCUGAUCUAUUGUUAUGCAAUCUUUGUUGGUAUGUUGAACUUGUGUCUUCAUCUUUUGGACCAAUUGGGACAAAUUGUGUUGAAGAACCAACUACAGAACAAUAGCAAAUUCAUCUGGUAACAUAAAGCAAUAGAAUAAGAAGAGGAGAAAGAAAAAAACUGACCUUGUGGUCACCACCGCCUGUAGCAAACCUUUCUCCAUUAGGUUGAACAUCAAUGGAGAAUAUCUGUAACCCUUCAUGUUUAACCCAAAAGGGUUUCUCCGCAAUCAUCUCUCUUCUGCCCAAUUCGAACUAAAACUCGAAAAAUAGAAAAACCAAGAUUCAAGACAGAAACUUUAUUGAGAUCACACCCAUGAACAAGCUCAAGGAAGUUACAGAGACUCAGCAAAAACACGAAUUUAUGGACGAAACCAAAAACCCAGAAAGCUACGAAAGAGAGAAGAUACUAAAGAACUGAAACGGUGAAGGAGAGAAUGAAGUCAAUUUCGAGGUUAAUUUUUCUUCCUCAAUUCGGUAAAAUUUUCUUUUAAAAACCCUAAUUUUUCGUUGUUAGCAGAGAGACAAAGUAGAAAAGACUUUAACAUUUGGGCUAAAUGUGACAAAUUUGGAAGACAGAGUUUGUGUUUUGUGAGAAGAAUAAAAACCCUACCUUUGGAGACAAAGAGCUCUUCGACUUCUUUCUAAGAUUCUCGAUUAAGUUUUUUCAAUCUAAAAUACAAAUUACAAUUGUUUGUGUGAAGUCUCUAUUUCAAUAAAAAAGAUAAUAAUUAUUGGUAAUGCAACUCCCAAUGUUAGAUGUUUGCUAAUGACUUAACUAGCUUAAAAGCAUUCUCACAUUUUCUUGCUUUCAAAUUGGCUUCAUCUCUAGGUCAUUUAGUGACAAACCCUUGUGAUCGGCCAAUCUUGGUCAUAUAAUCCUCGAACCCACGGUUUAGACGCAUUCCACUGCCUUGAUCAUCUGGUUUGGUCAUCACGACCCUCAAACACACGGUUCGGCCUGUUUUGGUCAUCUCAACGCUCGAACUAACGAUUCAGCACAGUUAGGUCAUCAUGACCGUUGAUAUGUAGCCAUCAUUACCAACUCACAACCCACUCAUUAUUUUACACUCAACCCCAACCCACUUUACUAAAAAGCCUGUGAAAAUUUUAAAUAUUUGGGCCUAUUUAUAAAACAUUAGGUUUUACAAAUAAAUCUAACUUUUGAAAUGGGCCUAACUUAAGUAAGAAAUGUGAAAUUUAAAUAUUUGUGACUAUUGUUAAGGCUUUUUAAAAUAAAGUUAAAUCGUUUUGAAUUUUGCGGCCUAAUUUUAUUUGUAAUUGUUUUUACAAGAUUAAUUUUUGAAAAUUAACAGAAGAUCUAUGGACCGUCGCGCUUAUGCCUAAUUGUUUGGCUUGGACCCGUUUACAUCCAAAGAAACCAUCAUUUUCCACCCAAAACAAUAAACAUUUUUCACCAUUCAUCAUUUUUUACCAUUAAUUUAGUCAUAUUUACGUAAUAAUUAUUCAUUUAAUACUUUUUAUAAUCAAUACAUUUCAUACACGAGUAAGUUAAUUAAAGGGUCAUUUUGAAAAAUACCAUGUUUUUGAGUUAUACUUUGAAAAUACCCCUUUUUCCUAUUUUUAAUGAAAACUACAAUCUUUUAUAUAUAAAAAUGAUAGUUUGGUAUUAACUUAAAUUUAAAGCUACAUUUUUAAUAAAUCAAAACUAAAUUCGAAAUUUAGAGAAAAAAAAUUCAAUAUUAAUACGAAUUAUAUAUAUUUUUAACACAAAGAUGGUUUAUUAAUUUUAUAUAUUUAAAUUUAACAAGAUAACAUCUAAAAAUAUUAUAAAAUCUUUCACUCAAUAUUUUUCAUGUUAUAUAAAGUAAAAUAAUCUCCAACACUCCAAGCACAUUUUUCAACUUAACACAUAUCACAAAACUUUGCUUCAAUUCAAUGAUUCUCUUUGAUUUUUUUUGUGUGAAAUAAACUAUUUUAUAUGUUUUCUACAUCAAAACAAUACCAUAUGACUUCACAAAAAUCAUGACUUAAUAUCGGUAGAAUGUUGUUAUUUAUUAUUGUUUAAAAAAUAAUUUAUGAUAGUAAAUUUUCGGAAUUGUUAGUUAUAUAAAAUUUUUGUAAAAAUUAAUUUUAAUUAUUGUCAAUAAAUUGAUGUUCUAUUUAAAAUAUAGAUAUUUUGAUUAAUUGUUAUUAAGUUUAAGUAAAUUUUAGUAACUUUACAUAUUUAAAAAUAGUUUUUAAAAGAAAUUAAAGAAAAGGUAUUUUUUUAAAAAGUGUAAACAAAAAAGGGCAUUUUCCCAAAUUUACUCUUACUUAAAUAUGUCACAAUCUAACACGAAUAUAACCAUAUUUUACUCACCAUUAUUUAGGUAAAAAAAACAACUGUAAAAAAAUUCUAGAUAAUUUAAUGAGAAGAAACCAUUAUUUACAGUCCCUGUUCUAAAAAUUCCCGCUUAAUCGCUAGGCCCACCCGCCUAAUCUGAUUACUCCCCGCCUAAUCUUACAUAUUCCGAUUAUUUUUAGAUUGCAAGUAUAAAAAAAACUUUUUAUUUUUGUUAUUCAAUCAUUUGAAUUGGGAGUUUGUGAUGUUUUACAAUAACUUAUGUUCAAAUUUUAAUAAAAAUCAUAAAUUUUUAGUAAAAAUCAUAAAGUUUUAAUAAAAAUCAUAAAAAUUUGUCUCAAAAAUGCAUUUUUAUAUAUUUACUACAAUUUUGAAAACAAUAUUAGAUUAAUAUAUUUUAAAAAUAUUAAAAUAACCUUAAAACCAGUUCCUGAUUAAUCCCCGAUUUUAAUCUAAUUUUCCGAUUAAUCGCUAGGCCCAUACCGAGCGCCCGACUAGCGACUAGUUGUGUUUUUUUAGGGCACCAUUAUUUACGAAACCGCCUAAGCAACACUUAACACUAUAUAUAAGAUGACUAUUGAUUUGAGUGAAUAUGUGUUCGUCCAAUUAUAUAGAACUAGAUAUGGACCCGUGCGUUGCACGGGUUGCCGGUCGAAAUUAUCAUUCUUAACUUUUAAUUUUAUUUUUGUAAGUAUAACUAAAAUUAUAUAAACAUAUAUAUUUUAGAUAAUGCAGCAUUUUAAUUAUUUUUUAAAUAUAGAUUUAUAAUGCAUAUUGCACAAUAUAAAAUACUAUUUGUAGUAAUGCAGCAUGUUAUACUAAUUAUUAAAUCAUCUAAUAUAAAUUUGCCUUAUUUAUAAAAUUAUAUAAUAUUUUUUGCUUAUUAUAAGUUAUGAAGUCAUAAAUGUUCAUACGCUGUAUUAUUGAAUUUUAAUAAGUUAUUUACAUCUAUCGGAAGAGUGUAUUACACCUUAUAAUUUCUAUGUGUGCAAGAUGGAAAUAAAUUGUGACAAUAAGAAAAGAUGAAAUUAUAUAGUUACGUGGUAUUGUCAAUUUUUGGCUCAUAUUACCCAUUUCUUCGUUUUCUCUCUAUUCUUUCUGCUCGCCGGCGAGAAAUUCUUAACUCUCUAUUUUUCUCAUUAAAUUUCUCUUAUUUUUGCUUGAACUCCUCUUUCUUUCUCUUUCUCUCCCUCUUUCCCCUAUCUCCAUUUCUUCUCUUCGUCGGACAUCACCACCGAGUCUCACUACUCUGACCCACCACCACAAAUAAAUCUCACUACUAUCACAAUCACCACCACCAUCAAUACCGAAUCUCGCUAAUUUCGAUCCACUACUUUCAUCAACAUUUAUCGCCAUCAAUACCGAAUCUCGCUACCUUCUUAGAGUAGGUGUAUCAUGAGUACGAACAUCAGAUUUGUCGAUUUUUUUUUAUGUAGCCAAUUACAUCUGAAUGGAAAACAAUGUUUAAUAUAAAUAAAUUUAUAUUUAUAAAAAUUUGAAAUUUAAAAUUCAGAAUAUUUACCGUAUAAAUGUUGUGUCAUAUCUUUCAAUUUAGCAAGAUCCUCAUGAUUUCUAAAUCGAAAUUUUUCGAGGGAUAUUUUGCAUAAAUUUUGAUCGACGGAUGCGAUUGUCGUUCUUUCUGUUAGUAUCAUCUGAAAUUUAUGAUGGGAGACCUUGUAGUUCUUAUUGCAAUCUUGCACAUUAAAGUUGCAAAUUUCGAUGAGACUUUCUUCACAUAGGUGAGCUCCAAAUUUUUCAAUAAGAGAAUGAUGUACAGAGCCUUGAAUUGUAUUUUCCUAUUUUUAAAUAAAUAAAAGUUAAAGAAAUUAAAUAGGAGAAUAUUUAGGUUUAAUGAAUAAAA